UCCUGCCACUGACCUCAGUGUUCACACAAGUGUCCUUCUCGUAGCUCCUCCACAUAUAUCCCCCCAACUCCAUCUCAGAUUCCCCUUCUUAAAUACAUUAUUGUGGCAGCCCAGUCAUCAUCACUAACUGGCCCAGCUUUGGCCAGAGGCAGGUCCAACUUGGAGCCGGGGAAUCUUUGAGAAGCUCACAGUGGGUCACCACUAUCCCCUUCACCUGCUACCAAAAACUCCACCACACAAACCCAGCACAUCUAUACUCAAGGGACCUAAACACCAGGGAGGAAGAACAACUUCAGCUAUAGCCACACUGGCACAGGCACAGGAGAAUAUAAACUAGCUGUGAAUCUGUUUAAACUGGAAAUUAGAAAAACUUUCUACCCACUACAGGUUCUGGGGCAGCCUGCCAAGGGGACUAAUGGGGACAGAACAAUGAACAAGUUUUUGGUUGACACUUGAGAAGCUUUUUGCAAUGGGAUUCUGAGAUGGUACUAGUAAGAGAUCACACUCAGUCACCAGGAGUUUCCUUCUCACUUCUGUUCCCACUAAACAGAUCAUCCAUAUUCCUGCAUUCCCAAAGCCAGCACUAAAUGCUUCAGGGGCUGGUGGAGGGAAACCUGCAGGAGACAGAGCAAAGCCUCCACAGAAACAUUUUCUCCUGAUCCAAAGGAGCUGGAUCUUCACUUGUGCCUUGAAGCAGGAGGGCGUAGAGUUGCUUUUAAUGCAUGCAUGAGUGCUACAGUAAUUCUGAAUGUUCUUGUUAUCCCUAUAAGGGUCGUUGCUCUUGAAUCUAGCUGACAUUUCGGUAUCUAUUGAAUUCAUCACAACAUGAAUAUAAUUGCACAUUACACAAAGAAUUAUUGCAAAUGAACUCCUUUCCCUGGCAGUGACAGAGUCUGCCACCGGCAGAGGACGCAGACAAAAAUCCAGCCCAGUUCCACACUGCAUUGGCAGGGAUGCUCCCAGAAAACUGGAGUAGACCCAAAGAGGAACACCCAAAAGUCCUGCAGAGCUAGCGCCUCAUCCCAGGGAUGCUGGUCCAGCUGUGGCAAGAGGCAGACACAACCCUCAGCAGCUGCUGUUGAGCGGGGAGCCUUUGUGAGAAGGCGCAGCCCUGUGGGACACCCACCCACCUGUGACAGUUCACCUACCAGACCAGACUGUCAGGCAGUCCUUCCACAAAAAGCCUUUGGAGGAGAGGUGAGCAGCUGGAGCAGAGGCAAGGCAUCCCCAUGUGAAGCUUGGGGGGACCAUGCUGCUGCAUUUUAUUUUUUUUUUUAAUCACUUUCUGGUAGCCCCAGAUCUGUCUUUUGAGUUACACAGGAUGUGGCGAGCUAAGUUAUUGUGUUUAAUAAAGUCUUUAAGAAAAAUAGAUAUUUUUGCAUAA